rnacentral:rRNA from 1 species
UACGUAGGGUGCGAGCGUUGUCCGGAAUACUUGGCGUAAAGGGCUCGUAGGUGGUUUGUCGCGUUGUUCGUGAAAACUCACAGCUUAACUGUGGGCGUGCGGGCGAUACGGGCAGACUGGAGUACUGCAGGGGAGACUGGAAUUCCUGGUGUAGCGGUGGAAUGCGCAGAUAUCAGGAGGAACACCGGUGGCGAAGGCGGGUCUCUGGGCAGUAACUGACGCUGAGGAGCGAAAGCGUGGGGAGCGAACAGG